GCCUCCAGGUAGGAGCCAUUUCCCUGGGUGUCCGGGGCUGGAGAGACAGAGACAGAGACAGAGGGAAAAAAAAGGUGGAGAAGGCAGGGCACAGAGGACCAGACAGAAACAGAAUUGAGCCAGAAUCUAGGGCUCUGAAGCUCAAUUCCUUUCACUGUAUUUCUGUUUGAGAAGGGAACGAUUCUCCACCAAUAAUUUCAAAGCAGCCUUAAAAGAUAGUGGUUGGACUGGUGGACAUUGUCAUUAACAGUGUAGAAAGGGCCCCUUUUCUGGCAUACUCCUCAGCCUUCGUUGUUGUUUGAUUUCUUAAUGAUGGCCAUUCCUUCUGGAGUAAGAUGGAAUCCCAGUGUUGUUUUUAUUUGCAUUUCUCUAAUUGCCUGUGACGCUGAGGAUUUAAGCAUGUAUUUUUGGCCUUUUUUCUUCUUCUUCAGUGAAGUAUCUAUUCAUUUCAUUUGACCAUUUUAUGAUUUGGUUUUUUAUUUUGGGGGCUCCAAUUUUUUUUAGUUCUUUAUAUAGUCUGGAUAUGAGUCCCCUGUCUCUGUAACAUUGUUUCCCAUCUGUCUUUUCUCUGUUGGUUGUUUAUUUUGCUGUGCAGAAGCUCUUUAAUUUAAUAUGAUCCCAUUUGUUGAUUAUUGGAACUAUUUCUUAUUCAACUGGGGUUCUGUUCAGAAAGUCCUUGUCUAUACCUAUGUAAAAUUCACACAUCAUGUAACUCCAUGUAGACACAGUUUAAAGUGUGCACUUCAGUGGCUUUUGUCCAUUCACAGAGCUGGGCAUCAGCCAUCACAAUCUUAGAGGGUCUGAGUCACCCCAGAGAGAAGGCCAGCACCCCUAGCUGUCUCCCCAGUCCUUGCCUCCCCAGCCCCAAGCAAACACCAACCCACUCUGUCUGCAGAUUUUCCUCAGGCCGUUUGGGCUUUCCUAUCUGGCUUGUCUCGCUCAGCACCUCUUUGCCAGGGGUCACCUGUGUGCAGCUCCAGUCAGAAUGGGGUUCAGCUUCCUGGCUGCAUUAUAACGCAUUGUGUGAAUCUGCCACAUUCUCUGCCUCCAUCCACCCACCAGUUUAGGGACAUCUUGAGUGCCCCAUGAUGCCUUUGAGCCAUUUAUCCUCGUCCACAUUUCUCUCCUGCUGGAACUACUCACCACCGCUGAGCCUUCUUUUGCUCAAAAAUCCAAAAUCCAACCAUCAAUUCUUCCAAGGCUCCUGAGGAUCCGAUGCCCCCUGCUCCUCUCUGUGCCCCCAGUACCUUGGGAUGAGCCGGCCGUGCUUAAAUCCACACAGGACACGGGCUGUUCCGAGCAACACUGCUUCCCGUCAGAGGUGACAUGGAGAGACAGUCUCUCCAGGGGUCUCCCAGAGCGACUCUGUCCUGCUCCUGUCUAGUGGUCUGAGGAAUUUGCCUUGCAGGGACCCUGCACUUCCGCUUCCAGGUGUGAACCCCAGAGCUCUGUUACCUCUGUCCGCUCCUGCAGCCUCCAGCUCCUCCCCAGGGAGAGCCCCUUGAGCUGAUUAGGAGUGAGGACCCAGCCCCGCCCAGGUUUGUGAGUCAGAAUCUCCAAUGUCACUGGAGCCUUAGAAGAUGGUACUCGGCUGAGUAUGGGAAGCAUCGCAUUGGGAAUGGGGGUGCAGGCUCACAGUGGGGUGAUCAGAACCACUGCAGGUACCACCGAGAGCAGAAGGGAGACGUGGACUGUGGCACUUGCCCACAGUGCAAUGGCCCACAGCGGCAGCGACAACGGAUUGAACUCGGGACCUUAUGCUUUUGAGGCAGGCUGUGGAACCACUGAGCUAAAUCCCCAGCCCUACAACUGGAAACCCAGUAUACCGGCUCGGCACUCACAGGACACACUGAGCUGGACAGUCCUCUCCCUGGUCACUCCAGCCUGAGGGAGAGUCACCCGACAGGCAAGCAACUACUCCAUGCAGAGAACCCAAGAUCAGAAAAUGACGCCCAAGCCCUGCUACAUGGACCUUGCCACUCUGAGACUGCAAUUUCUGGACCAUCCACAUCCCAACUGCCCAACUACACUGGUUCUCCUGCCUGGCCCUUCAGGAGUCUCUGCAGCUAGAUCAGGCUCCCAGCUACACAGGAGAAGGAUGGCAGAGGCACAGGGCUGGGACUCCCAAGGCCGUGACAUUGGGAUCUGGAGCUCUGAGGCUGCCAUUUUGAGACUGUUAACACUUUUGUGUUGGGACUUGUGUUUCGGAACUGAAGUCUCAUGGCCUAGUGGAACCCAAAGAGGCGGCCUUGAAAACCUGGUCCCAGGAGUUCGAGCUUCUCCACUUUGCCACCUCCUCCAUCGCAGACAGCUUCUUGGUCCCACCUCAGCCCCCCUGCCACCUGAGUACCCUGGACACAUUUAGGGGUCUUCACUGCCCACCCUGAGCCCCCAGAUUCUUGAAGGCUAAAGAAUGGGAUGUUAACAAGUAAAUUUAAAAAAAAACAGUAUGGAUUUUAGGAUGUAGUUCAGUGGUAGAUCGAUUACCCAGCUUGUGCGAGCCCCUGGUCCCAUCCCUGCACUGAAGAAAUCUAACAAGUAGAAGAAUCCUCCAAAAAUAAAUUAUGUCCUAUCCACAGAAAUGAAUGUUUCUCAGCCACAAAAGGGAAUGGAGUUCUGCUAUGUGCCAUGUUAUAAAACUGGAAAACACUAUACUAAGUGAAAGAAGCCAGACAGAUACUGCAAAAGUCCUGUCCUGUGAAAUAUCCAGAUUAGGCAAGUCUUUUGAGACAGAAAGUAGGUUAGAGGCUCCCUGGGGGAGAGAGGGACUGAGGAGGAGGAAGAGAAAUGACUUCUUGUUGGGUACACUGAGGUUUUCUAUCUGGAGCUGGGGCCCAGCCAUGGCUGCCUGCUGAUGGGCACAUGCUCCGGGCCAGUGACCUGCAUUCUUCAAAAGGGUCCAAAUGGAAAAUUUUAUGCUAUUCCUGUUUCACCACAAUUUAGGGGGUUUUUUUGUACCAGGGCUCAAACUCAGGUCCUUGCACUUGUGAGGCAGGCGGCAGCACCAACAAUUUAUUUUAUUUUAACUGACAAAGGAUAGUUGUAUAUAUUUAUCGGCCACAAUGUGAUGUUUUGAUAAAUGUAUUAUUAAUGAGAUAAUUAAA